CUCUUUAGCUUGGCAUUUGAAUCGGCUUUGCUGUUGCGAAGUAGAGUGGCGGCUUCGGCUGCCGAGGGUCGAUCCAUUUGGGAAAUGUUGUGUACUUCGGUAUGCAUCUCAAUUGGACCUGAUAUCAGGCAAGAUUACCCGCUGAACUUAAGCAUAUUAAUAAGCGGAGGAAAAGAAACUAACAAGGAUUCCCCUAGUAACGGCGAGUGAAGCGGGAAGAGCUCAAGCUUAAAAUCUCCGUGCAAGUUUUGCGCGGCGAAUUGUAGUCUAUAGAGGCGUGAUCAGUGUGGGCGCUUGGGGCAAGUUCCUUGGAAGAGGACAGCAUGGAGGGUGAUACUCCCGUUCAUCCCUGAGUUGCUCGUGCGUACGAUCCGUUUUCUUUGAGUCGCGUUGUUUGGGAAUGCAGCGCAAAGUAGGUGGUAAAUUCCAUCUAAAGCUAAAUAUUGGUGCGAGACCGAUAGCGAACAAGUACCGUGAGGGAAAGAUGAAAAGAACUUUGAAAAGAGAGUUAAAGAGUACCUGAAACUGCUGAAAGGGAACCGAAUCGUUUCCAGUGUCUAUAAUCCGUGGUAUAUUUCAUUGGCGAGUGUGUGCGUGCGUGUGCUGUGGCAGCGGCUUUUUUGGCUGCGCUCGGCGUGUGUGCUGUGUGUGCUUGCUGGUGCCCUGUGCUGCGGUGGGACGUCAAGGUCAGUUCGUAUGCUGCGGGAAAUGGCCGCCGAGGAGGUAGGGCUUACGCUUGCGUUUGUCUGUUAUAUCUUGGUGGACGAGUAGUCGCGGUUGGGACUGAGGUGCCUACAACGUGUUUUUGAGUGGGCCUGUGUCUCUGUGUGCGCCGUGUGCGGAUAGCUUGCUAUGCGUGUGUGGUUGUGUGUGGAUUGAUGUGGGUUUUAACUUGUUGCCGUUCGGGACGUUGACGAAAUGGAGCGAUUUGACCCGUCUUGAAACACGGACCAAGGAGUCUAACAUGUGUGCAAGUGUUAGGGGUGUGGAAACCCCAGCGCGAAAUGAAAGUGAAGGGCAGCGUAAGUUGUCUGAGGAAGGAAAUGCUGCGGGCUU